rnacentral:rRNA from 1 species
UACAGAGGUCUCAAGCGUUGUUCGGAAUUACUGGGCGUAAAGGGCGCGUAGGCGGCCCGCUAAGUCGAACGUGAAAUCCCCGAGCUCAACUCGGGAACUGCGUCCGAUACUGGCGGGCUUGAAUCCGGGAGAGGGAUGCGGAAUUCCAGGUGUAGCGGUGAAAUGCGUAGAUAUCGUCAAGAACACCGAUAGUGAAGACAGCUAACUAGCUCUAACUGACGCUGAGGCACGAAAAGUGUGGGGAUCAAACAGG